rfam:Myotis lucifugus cont2.56102, whole genome shotgun sequence.
GAGACACCCUUAUGGGACAAGUCUUGCUUCAGAGGGGCUUUGGUGCUCACUGAGUCUGCCCCCUGAGUGUGUCCCU